CGAGAAAGUACAGAAAAAACAAGGCGCACUUAAAAUCCUUUAAUUUUCCCCAAAAUCGUCAGUGCACCUUUAAAUCCAGUGCGCCUAAACUAUGAAUUUUACCAGUCAGGUUGGAAGGAGCAAUAAAGCCACUCUGCUGAAGUACAGCGUUAUACAGGAGUUUCAGUUCAGUUCUUCAACACCAGGACUGGAGCAGCAUUAGCGUUAGCCACUAACCGCUAUUUUACCAUUUAGAGGCCACCCACCAGAACAAGUCACGACAGCGUCCGGCCUCAAUUAUGGCAUUGUCAGGGCCAGCUGAAGUAUUUGCACACCGGCGGUGGAGAAGUGGCGCGGCAGGUUCGUCCGAGCCGGAGCUGACCCCGACCACGGACUUCACGAUGGCCCUCUUAUUGCAGUCCAUUUACAGACUGCGUUUACUUCAUAGCUGUGGAGCAGAGGGGGGAGAGAGAAUGAUUGGAGACACAGCAGGGGCAGGCGAGGAAGGCAAUGGAAGAGAGAACAAGACAAUAACGGCUGAUUUCUCUAUGAUGGGACGAAACCGAUGAAGCAAAACCAUUAAAACAGAAGAUUCAUUCAACGGCAAAUUGAAAUCGACAAGUGGCUCCUUUUAAAUACGAAAUAUAAACAGACAACGAAUGAAUAAAAUAAUUGAAUGUGAAAAAGAAAAGCA
rnacentral:lncRNA from 1 species